UACGGAGGGUGCAAGCGUUAUCCGGAUUCACUGGGUUUAAAGGGUGCGUAGGUGGGUUUGUAAGUCAGUGGUGAAAUCUCCGGGCUUAACUCGGAAACUGCCAUUGAUACUAUAGAUCUUGAAUCAUCUGGAGGUAAGCGGAAUAUGUCAUGUAGCGGUGAAAUGCUUAGAUAUGACAUAGAACACCGAUUGCGAAGGCAGCUCGUUACACGGUUAUUGACACUGAGGCACGAAAGCGUGGGGAUCAAACAGG
rnacentral:rRNA from 1 species